rnacentral:hammerhead_ribozyme from 1 species
ACCAAGCUGACGAGUUAAAAAUAGGACGAAACGCGCGUCCUUAGAU